rnacentral:lncRNA from 1 species
AGAAAAUUCCCACUAAAUUUUAAAUGUCGCACAUUUUGCUUGCUCUCUGCAAGUACCUAAAGACCACAUCAAAUUUACUUGGCAACACCAAUAAUGUAAGCAUUCCAUGAAUCUCGUUGUUGGAAACUUUUAAAUUCUUCAUAUUUCAAACCGUGUUCCCAACCAAAUCCUUCUGUACUUCUAAUUUUGUCCGUCUCCGGCAUUUCCCGAAGCCAAAAGUGGACAGAACCAAAUCCCGCCUCUUCCAAACAGUCUUUAAUCUCCGGCAACGACCAACUGCAUAUAUAAGCAAAUGUAUUUAUAAGAAAAUAUAAACAUGAUUAUGAUCCUUUUUUCUUUUGAUGCAGGUGGUAUGCUGAAGAUACCACUUUGGCCGAAGAAGCCAUUCUAAAGUAAAACUCAAGUAGUAGCACAUGCUCAUCAUUUUGAAGCCGCCAACAACAGAAAUGUUGUUAAAACAGUGGGUGAAUUUUUUAUUUCUAUCUUUUCAAUGAAUUUUUCAUUUUUCUAAAGAAGUUUAUAUACAUUCUAGAUUUCUUGCCAAAAGAAAAAUUGCCUGUCAUAUUCUCAUAUAUAAAAGAGUUUUACAUGUAUCCAUGUAGCAAUGAGUGUAUGUAUCAAGCAAAGCUACC